rnacentral:rRNA from 1 species
GAUGAACGCUAGCUAUAGGCUUAACACAUGCAAGUCGAGGGGAAACGGCAUUAUUUGCUUGCGCAUUUUGGACGUCGACCUGCGCACGGGUUAGUAUCGCGUAUCCAACCUUCCCUUUACUUUGGGAUACCCCGUUGGAAGACGGCCUAAUACCCGAUGUAAUUCAUUGAUUGCAUCAGAUAUUAAUAAAAGAUUUAUCGGUAAAGGAUGGGGAUGCGUCUGAUUAGCUUGUUGGUGAGGUAACGGCUCACCAAGGCGACGAUCAGUAGGGGUUCUGAGAGGAAGGUCCCCCAAAUUGGAACUGAGACACGGUCCAAACUCCUACGGGAGGCAGCAGUGAGGGAUAUUGGUCAAUGGGCGCAAGCCUGAACCAGCCAAGUAGCGUGCAGGAAGACGGCCCUAUGGGUUGUAAACUGCUUUUAUACGAGAAUAAUUUGAUGCACGUGUGCGUUAUUGAAUGUAUCGUAUGAAUAAGGACCGGCUAAGUCCGUG